AUGAACGUUACGCUUAUGAUGCCUUGGGUUUGGCGAAUCUUGAGGGGAGAUGGGGGUUUGUGGCUUCAGCUGAUUGAGUCCAAGUACUUGCAGGGCCAACCCCUCUUGGCUUGCUCACACCUGGCCGGGUCCCAGUUCUGGAGAUCUAUUCAGGCCAUAAAGGAAGGGAUUAGGUUGGGUUUGCGAUUCUCGGAUGGCAAUGGGUUUGGGACCCAGUUUUGGUUGGACCCUUGGUUUGAGGGCAAGCCUCUCUGCUUGCGGUUCUCGAGGCUCUUUGCGAUUUGUGAUGACCCGACCAUCCUUGUAUCGACGGCUACUUUGGUUGACGGAUGGAACAUUACAUCCCGCCGCUCAUUCGGACCAGAUGAGGUACGGGAAAGGACAGACCUGAGGGAAGUAGUCCCUCUUCCUCUGUCCCAGGUCCCCGACACUGUUUACUGGAGCCUUUCUCCUUCGGGUGAAUUCUUCGUUAGUUCGGCCUAUUAG
rnacentral:rRNA from 1 species